CACAGCAGCAGCAGCAGCAGCAGCAGUAUAGCGGCAGCACAGUCGUCCGUUUCGCCUGUGAAUAUAUCUAUAUAUAUACAGCUGCUCCGGCGGUAGAGAGGUUAUACGAAGGGAGGGGCGGCGGCGCCCUAUCUCUCGCUUAACUCUCUCUCUCGCGCGCGGCGCGCGAUCAGUCGCGCACCCUUCCCGGCCGCGGAAACAGCGUCAGUAUAGCAGCAGCGCACUCCUACCUCGCUCACUAUUGUAACGUUCUAUACAACGCUGUAUUGUCCAGGAUGUCCGGCCAAUCGCUACUACUGCUCGCGCUCGGGAUAUUCCUGCCGCACUGCCUCGCUGGGACGCGGCCCAGCUUCGUAUCCGACAAGAUGAUUGCCACGGCCGCCAGCGUCGUGAACGCCUGCCAAAUGCAAACGGGCGUGGCCACUGCCGACAUCGAGUCGGUGAGAAACGGCCAGUGGCCCGAUACCAUGGAGCUCAAGUGUUACAUGUACUGUCUCUGGGAGCAAUUCGGACUGAUCGACGAGAAGCGCGAGCUGAGUCUCAACGGCAUGCUGACGUUCUUCCAGAGAAUACCGGCUUAUAGAGUCGAGGUCGAAAAGGCUAUUAACGAGUGCAAGGCCCUGGGUAAAUAUUACGCGACUGGCGAUACCUGCGAGUACGCCUACACGUUCAACAAAUGCUACGCCGAAAGAUCACCCAGAACUUACUACCUCUUCUGAACCGACCGAACCGCCAGAAUACGAAUUAAGGACGCCGUUUAGACGAUAAUCUCUCUCUCAAGUGUGCUCAGAUUAAAAAAUAAUGUCAAUUUCGAUUCCACACCCGCAUCAAGUAGUGGAUCGACGAGUUAUAUAUCAUGGACUGAAUCGCUGCAAUUCGUAGUAAUUGUGCAAUCGAUAUGCCAUACCGAGAAUAAUCGUAUUUAUAACGUAACAAUAAAAGAACACAAUAUCUACACGAACAGGAGCUUUUGCUACAACGAGCGUGUACAUCGUUAUACACAGAAUUUAGAAACAAAAACACGUAUAUAUAUACACGUACCUAUAAACGUAGCCUCAUUAUUUGUUCAUAGAAUACAUGAGCUGAGUUUUACAUCGCGAGUGAAGAAAAUGUGCUGUAAAUAUUUCGAACUCCAUAUAUUAUACCACGUAAUACCAAUUAUACGCAUCGUAAAUGUACACACCUGUAGUGCCGUCACAUGUGAGCUUGCGUUUGAGACAUACGAGAAUGAAUAAAGAACAAUCACAUCCAUGACGAUAGUGACGUGUAUAAAUUUAAUGUUCAAUUGCAACAAAUACGAGACAUCCCUAUGUAUAUCAGCGUUUACCUUUGAUCAGGGCUCUAUAUGACGGAGAGCUAAUUGAAAUUGACACAUCUGCGCGUCGCGCUUGGAAAUUACGACAUGUGUAACUGCACGCUAGGUACGCGCGACCGCUCGACUGCGUCCGCUAUACAUAUACCUAUACAUACGCGUACGUUUGUUUAGUCACGACACGUUUGCAUUAGAGUCCGCGCAAUUUUCGACUAUGACAAUCCCGACCGAAAGCAAUUGUCACGGCUCGUGUAUAGGACGAAUGUAGCCUCUGCAUGGCUCUCGUAUAUGUAUCUGUUUCGUGACCUGGAUAUCAUUAUUAUGAAUUUUUCACGCUUUAAUUUUGCAAGCUCGUAUUUGAUUGAAGUAGCUCGUAUACUUUUUUUUUCUCGACGGCGCGUGUAUUUUUGCAGUAAUUAAAAUUUUCAUUUUAAAGCUUUUCGCGCUCGUCGCACGAUAUAUAUACUGACGCGCGCUUUGCGCGUAUAAAAAAUGAAAAAAUACUUGGCAAUUAAGAGGGUGUACGUUUCUCUACUUUUUAAAAGCCGAGUAUAAGCGCGUGAUAUAAUGAGGUAGGAAAGCUGGAUAAUAUUGCGAAAUUACAGAAUGAAUCAGCUAUAAUUGCUCGGGUCAGUCGUUGCGCGAUUGCAUGUUUGCGAUCCAGGGGCUAAUGGUUAUUUGCAUACCCGGUGGUUAAUCCCACGUUUGUCUAUAUAACACUGCCACCCGCGAUGGCCGAUGCAUUCGUGCGUCAGUUUCCAAGUGUGCAAUUCUGAUCCGCGUCAAGAUGAUGAAGAACUUGACUCUGUGCUUUUUGGUCGUGGUUCUCGGCGUCAUCAAAGUUAACGGCAAUGAAAUCCCUCACGAAAUCCGACACAUGGUGGUCGGAGUUCGCGACAAGUGUCACCGAGAGACUGGAGUCGAUAUUGAGCACGUCGACAGAACAGUCGAGGGAUAUUUCCACCCCAGCGAACUGCUCGGAUGCUACUUCUCCUGCAUAUUCAACCACUUUGAUCUCCUUGACAAGGACGGUCACCUCGACUGGGACAAGUUGGUCCCGAGGAUCCCCGAAUCUUUCAAGGAACACGCCGAUGAGAUGAUCGCGGCUUGUCGCUCUACAACCGGAAAGGACCCCUGCGACUCCGCCCUGAACAUCGUUCAAUGCUUCCAGAAAACCAACCCCUCGAAAUACUUCGUCAUCUAAGAACACGGAGAGCGUCUUCUUUGUAUUACUACUACAUGCGUGCUUGCGGCACUUUUACGACUUGCAACGUAUACUACUAGAGUACGAGAAAUGUCUACGAGAGGUGCUCAAUAAAGAAAUAAGAACAA